GUGUGACAAUAGCUUGUGAAAGACUUUCACAGUGUUUACAUCACAGGGAGAACAUUCUGGUGAGCACCUAGGUGCAAUCUGAAACUCAGCUGCCUGGGUGAACAUCUUACCACCACCACUAAGUAACCAUCGAGGAUAUAAGGAAAAUGGAAAUCUAAGAGUCAGGAAGAGGCCGAUCAUUGUUCAAUAUGGGUCAUAAAGCAGCUGAGACAACUCAAAACAUCAACAGUACAUGGGGCCCAGGGACUACUAACAAAUGUACAGUGUAGUGCUGGUUCAAAAAGUUUUGCCAAGGAGACAAGAGCCUUGAAGAUGAGGAGCAUAGUGGUUGGCCAUUAGAAGUUGGCCAUCAGAAGUUGACAACCACCAACUGAGAAGUUCAUCAAAGCUGAUUCUCUUACAACCACACAAGAAGCCAAAGAACUCACUGUUGACCAUUCUAUAGUCUUUCAUCAUUUGAAGCAAAUUGGAAAGGUAAAAAAGCUAUAAGUGGAUGCCUCUGACUACAAAUCAAAAAAAAAAUUCAUUGUUUUGAAGUGUUGUCUUUUCUUACUGUAUGCAACAACAAACCAUCUUUUGAUUAUGACAUGCAACG